GUGUCAGCAGCCGCGGUAAUACGGAGGGUGCAAGCAUUAAUCGGAUUUAUUGGGCGUAAAGGGCGCGUAGGCGGAAUUGUAAGUCAGAUGUGAAAUCCCGGGGCUCAACCCCGGAACUGCAUUUGAAACUGCAUUUCUAGAGGAUAGGAGGAGAAAACGGAAUUCCACAAGUAGCGGUGAAAUGCGUAGAUAUGUGGAAGAACACCGGUGGCGAAGGCGGUUUUCUAUCUUAUUCCUGACGCUGAUGCGCGAAAGCAAGGGGAUCAAACAGGAUUAGAUACCCUUGUAGUCC
rnacentral:rRNA from 1 species